rnacentral:lncRNA from 1 species
AUGCGGCCUCCACACUUUGCUCGUCCCUGCUUUGUCCAGUGGCCCAGCAAGGGGGCCCCGGGCUGGUCACCCUCUCGGGGUUCUUGGGGACAGCACUGGCCCACCCACUCCUCCAGCCUGUGGCAGCCCCGCCCUCCGCGCCCCACACCACCCCGAGAGCCCAGGUCCCGGCGCUCAGGGGCCCGGAAGUUACGGAAAAAAACAUCUAUUCUUUCCGGUUCCGGUACAAACGCGGCGGGGUUCAGAACGUCAGCUUCUUCUCCGGCCUCAGCUCGUCGCCCUUCUCAGGGAGGCUGUCCGGGCGCAGGUCCUUGUUCUGAGGCUCCCUGGCGAGAACAAGAGGACCAAGGUGGACCCUCCAGGCCGUCUGCUCGGGGCCAAUCCAAGUGCUUACUGCAGGGUGCUUGGUUAAAUCGCUGCUGGUCCGUCAACACACGGGACAAAUCUCAAACAGAAACACAGCUAAAUGCAGAUUCCUGGCCCCUCGAAGAGAAUCUAGGGCUGCGGAUAUGAGCUGGGCCCCGAGGAUCUGCAUUUCACGAAGCAUCUUGUGAUUCUGCGGUGGGGCACCGGGGUCCCGGAACCCCUAGAUGGCGCUGGGCAUUAUCUAUG